UACGUAGGGGGCCAGCGUUGUCCGGAAUCAUUGGGCGUAAAGCGCGCGUAGGCGGCCAAACAAGUCCGGUGUGAAGGUCACAGGCUCAACCUGUGAAUGCCGCUGGAAACUGUCUGGCUAGAGUCCGGAAGGGGCGAGUGGAAUUCCUGGUGUAGCGGUGAAAUGCGCAGAUAUCAGGGGGAACACCUAUGGCGAAGGCAGCUCGCUGGGACGGUACUGACGCUGAGGCGCGAAAGCGUGGGGAGCGAACAGG
rnacentral:rRNA from 1 species